GUAGCAUGAGUAGGAAGUGUAGCCUGAAGCACUGAGGUUUGGCUCUUGUCAUCUCAGCGUCGCCUAGCCUGGCCUGACUGGUGAGAACAUUCCGCAAACAUUUCCUGAGCUCUGUACUGAGGUUCAAGUGUAGCAGAUACAAAGGAGGCGAAUCAACUAGGCUGGCAAUGCCUUGGGGCCAAGCUUACCUCCACUGGAAAAGACGUUGCUAGGUCUGUCUAACACACCCUUGUCCUGUUUUUAGAAAAGCACCGCUCAAGGCCACCGGCAUUUCAUAUUUUUCAGCAUGUCUUUCACUUUGAGGCUGGUUUCCUUUAGCAGGGAAGGUCUCUGUCCUUGCCUGCAGAUAUUAAAAGUCAGAAUAAGAAAUGCUCGAAGUUCCCGUCAUGGUUCAGUGGUUAAUGAACCCGACUAGCAUCCAUGAGGACGCAGGUUCAAUCCCUGGGCUUGUUCAGUGGGUUAAGGAUCCGGCAUUGCCAUGAGCUGUGGUGUAGGUUGCAGAUGCGGCUCGGAUCCCGCGUUGCUGUGGCUGUGGCGUAGGCUGGUGGCUACAGCUCUGAUUCGACCCUUAGCCUGGGAACCUCCAUAUGCCGCGGGUGGGGUCCUAAAAGACAAAAAAAAAAAAGACAGGAAAAAAAGAGAGAAAUGCUAUGAAUUGUCCCAGGAGAGGGCAGAGAGCUUUGGGAGGAGUUAGAAACUGAGGUUGUCUGCGAGCGUGUUUGGAGACUUGAAAGCAAAGAUUUCACCAGAGAGAGCUUCCUGGAGGAUCUCAGUCAGAACCCACCAGGAACCUGGAAUCCAUGGUGUCAGUCCAACCUGACCUUGAACACCAGCAUGUCAUUCACCCACUGGCGACUCUGGGAUGUUCCCGAAAGUUAGAGGCUAUUGGCCUUUGUUCUGUUCACCUGACUUUGAGACACCGGCCAGAGGGCUCAGGACACUGUGAGAACGUGGAAGGUCAUUUGUUCGUCUUCAUCUGGGGUGGCCACCGUGGUCCCCUUGUUCCAGCUGAAGGCAGCCCCAGAAAAAAAGCAGAAAGGAGGAGGAGUUUGCUUUUGGUCUCCCUGCCUCCCUUUCCUGCACCCUCGCCCUCACAGGGCCCGUAACCUGGGCCCAGGCAUCGAGGCUUUCUCAGAUAUGAUUCUUUCUGACAGAGUGAAGAAACCAAAAGGUUUGGAAUUAAGUAUCUGAAGCUGAGCGCUCUUGCAUCAGCUCUUUCAUUUCUUGUCCCCAAAGCCCCAGUUUGCUCGAAAUGGUAAUACCAACCUCGAAGCCUAAUAAUUCCUUUAUUACAUUAUAGUAGGAAGAGAUGCUGGUUUGAAUUGGGCAGCAGAGACCAAAAAAGAUGCAUUUCUGCCCCUGCAAGUGAAGUAAUGCCUUUUCAACUGGAUACAAUUCUUUAACUGGCUCACUCCCUUUAUUCUUCACCAUCCUUCCCUUGAGAACAUUCUGUGCCUGUUAUUGCUAGAUGCUGAGAAUGAAAGGAUAAUUAAGACAGAGUCCCCAGCCUCAUCAAGCUUACCACCUAAGGGAGUUUCUGUUGUGGCGCAGCAGAAACAAAUCUGACUAAGAACCAUGAGGUUGCAGGUUCAAUCCCUGGCCUCGCUCAGUGGGUUAAGGAGCUGGCAUUGUCAUGAUCUGUGGUGUAGGUCGCAGACGCAGCUCCUAUCCCGUGUUGCUGUGACUGUGGCAUAGGCCAUCAGCUGUAGCUCCAAUUCGACCCCUAGCCUGGGAACCUCCAUAUGCUGAGGGUGCGGACUUAAAAAGCAAAAAAAAAAAAAAAAAAAAAAAAGAGGCUUACCACCUAAGGAAGGAGCCAGAUACAUACAGAGAUUUUAAAGCAAGGCAGUAAUCGUGGUAGUAUUUCAAGUGUGGCCAAUGUUUAUCACCAGGGAGGCUCAGCAAUCUACCUACCCUAGAGAGUUCAGGGAAGACUUCCUGGAGGAGGAAGUGCCUGGCCUGUGUGAAUGAUUGCUUAGAGCGAAAUAGGUAAAAGAGGCAGAAGGGAAAGGAAAGCAGGGGUGGGAUGAGAGGAGGCAAAGGGGAGACAAGGAAGUGAGCAAGGAGAAAAGCACUUCCGUGUUGUUGCAGCACUGGGCGGGGGGUGGGGGGAGGAGGUGGUGAGAUCACAAAAAUUAGAGAUUUCCUUACACCCGGUAAACCUUCACCUAGAAAGAAAACUCCAAAACGCACCCCUCCUCCCUGGAGUCACCUCUGUAUCCCAUCCUUUAUGGAUCCCCGGGUACAUUUAAUUCAUGGAGAAAAUGGAAGAAAAAAGAAAACGUGAUUGUCUAAAUGUUCAAAGCCCCCUCCAGCCCCAUCUCUCUCCCAUUUUCUCUUUCUUUUGUGAGCACCAAACCCCCAAUGGUAGGAAGCAUUAGUCUAAAAAUAGCCCCGCUCAAAGACCCGAUUUUUUCUGAGUUUCAUAAAACAUCUGCUGAACAGUUUCCUAUAACUGUUUUUGGCCAUUAAAUCAAAGCCGCGAGAAACAAUGUUCUGCUUCUGCCUUGAAAGCAAAGACCCGCCAUCAGGCCUUCCUCUCAGACCCCGACGACAAUGGGGCCAGAAAUAGCCGCCGGAGGCUUUGAAACACCUUAAGGCCUGCGUCCAAGCAGAGUCUUACUGGGGUCUUGUUUUUCUUUCUUUUUAAAGAGGCUGUUCCUCUCUCAAGAGCAGAAAAGAAACUCAGAUAGGCAAAACCUCAUGGGAGAGGUUACGGUCCCCCAUGCAAAUUGCCACCUGCAAGGGCAGGCUGGCGAGGUGCAUGCAGAG
rnacentral:lncRNA from 9 species